CCCAGCCCAACACACUGCUACUGUACAGCCCAACACACUGCUACUGUACUGCCCAGCCCAACACACUGCUACUGCCCAGCCCAACACACAUUUGCACUAAAGAAAAGCCAUGCAUUAGUGUUUACAGUCCUGUUUACUAAUGAGUCACUGCUGCCUUAUGGAGAAGAAAUCAAAUCUGAUCAUUUGACUGUUAUUAAAUCAUUUUGAUAAUAUCUGCAUCGAUGAUAGGAAUGUUGUUGUUUUUCGUUUGCACAAUUCCCUCCAGAAUCAAUGAUAGGAAGGUUGUUGUUUUUCGUUGACACAAUUCCCUCCAGAAUCAAUGAUAGGAAGGUUGUUGUUUUUCGUUGACACAAUUCCCUCCAGAAUCAAUGAUAGGAAGGUUGUUGUUUUUCGUUGACACAAUUCCCUCCAGAAUCAAUGAUUUGUAAUUGAAAAAGGGUACAAUAAAAAACAAUAUAUAUAUAUAAAUUAGACGAAGGAUCUAUAAAAAUGUGUGUGUUUUGUCUUUGCUUUUCUGUGUAAUGUUUACAGAUGUCUGAUUUAAGGGUGUCAAUGAUUCGCUGAUCUGACUGCUGUACAAACAGAGGUGAUUUUUACAUGGACGAUGGUAUUGACAAGUCAGUUAUUCAUCGUUUCUACAGGUUUAUCUUGUUUUUGGAGGAGAAAUAGGCACUUAACUCUUUCAAAUGUUCCCUUUGGAUUAACAAUCCUGUUACUGACAUCAUAUCAGUCUAUCUUGAAAUGGGAGUUCAUUUUGUAAUACCUGUUAGUUCAUGUAAAGUGACGUACUGCACACAUCUACAGUAUAGACUACGUAGACCAGUGAAGAGUCCAAUGACCAGUUGUACUGAAAACUAUGCAACAUUACAUUUCAUAUAUGUUGCUGUCAUCUAUUCAAAUAACUACGUAUGAGCAUAUUCUGCCCUCAUCUAUCCUGCUGACCUUGGUGUACCAAAUAAAUAAUUGAAAACAAACAAUUCAAUCUUUUAAAUAUA